AGCCUCAGCUCUGGGCAAGAUACGGUAUGCUAUUCUCGAUUAAACAGUUCUUCUCUUGUCCGGUUUGAAAGGUGUAAAUUUUUAUUCCCUGUUACGUAUUUGCUAUGAUAUGGAACAAAAGUUUGAUUUUGGAAGCUUUUGAGUGUUAUAUCUUUGCGUAGAUUGCUUUACAUCAUCAUAUAGUUCUUGGGAUAAAGAAAAAUUGGGGGAUGUGUAUAUGUAAGUUCGUGGAAUUAUUUUGUUUUCAUAUUUUCUUUGUGUAUUAUAGUGGUGUUAGUCAAGUACAUCUGUUAAGGAGUUCUCUUCAGUAUUCACUUCCUAAAACAAACUCAAAUAUUUUUAAAAUAGAGGAUUUUUGGAGUUGUUUUAAGUCUUAAGAUAUGCAUCAUUGCAAUUGUUAUCGAGGUGAAUGCUUAUAUUGUCCUUGCUUACAAAUCACAAUGAUUACUAAGAGCAUGUUUGGGAAGUGUUUAUAAGCAAUAUAAAUAAUAAAUAGAUAGAAAUGAGUGGUGGAUAAAUGGAUAGCAUAAAAAGUUAUAAACAUGAGCCAAACAUAGGCUAAAAUUUGCAAGACAUGAAUUGAUAGGUGGAAUAAAUUUAUGUAUGGGCUAAAUAAUUGGUCUGAUCCAUCAACACAAGGACAAAUUAAGCUUUGUUCCCCAUAAAUUUGAUACCCGCUAUAAUAUUCCUUUUUCUCCAUUUGGUUCUGUUCAUUGUUACUUCUUGUGGAAGAUCAGAAAAGAUUGAUCUUUUCAUAUAUCUAAUAGCUGUAUAGUUAGUAUUUUUGUGCAAAUAAUCCCCUGAUUCUGCUCGAAAUUUUCCGAAGUGAGACAUCUCAAAAAUCAAGCUAGAGCACAGCUAGGAAGGAAACUAUCCCUACUUACAUUAUAACAAAUCAAAUGCAGCUUGAAAAUUAGCUGAGAAGCAUCAUAAAAUUAUUCUUUGUGACAAUCUAUAUGCAAAAUAAACUAGUCUUAUACUACUGCAUUGCAACUAUGAAGUUACAAAAGAUAACCAGUCCAUUUUAUAAUAUUCAUAUGAUGAUUAUAAAGGUUUAUAAUAAUUCAAAAGCUAUUCUCCCGAGCUUCCAUAAUCACAUCCUUAUAAGGGUUCAAGUCUCCACAUUUGCAAGGAAUUUGCCCAUAAACUAUAUACACUAUUGCUUCUUUUCUUUCCGGUCUACAACAGUAUAAUUACCAUCGUUUUACUUUUGGAUGGGGAGACACAUAGUUAGCUACUAAGCCUGUUGAGUGGAGAGUGCAUUUAAGUGUGCAUUGAUGCAUUACAGUUAGUCCAAGAUAAUCCUAUUUACAGUAUAACCUCUAUAAACUGAUAGCCCUAAGACCAUAUAAAUUCUAUUAAUUAAUCGAUACAUUAACAAUUUAUUAAUUUAUAGAGUGUAUUUACAGUUUAACGAAUAUCCAUUUAAUCAGCUAAAAAGUCAUUGUAUUUUAAGGAAAUCAAUGUCCAUAAGCAAUAGCCCUGUUACCCCUUUUUUGUAAUUCAAGAAUUCAACCUAGAAAAUCUAGAUGCAAUAAAAAAAAUUAGAGAUGAGAUCCAACUAGAUUUAAGCAUCAAGAAAAAAACUAGUAACAAUAGUCAUAUUUUAAUAAAAUGUCAUAGUCGAUUUUAUUUGUAAUUUUAGCAAAUUAUUAAUUUAUGAUAUGUAUAGGACUAGACAGACUUAUCUAAGAGUUUUCAUGAAAGUAUUAUCUUGAUAAUCUAUCGAAAUUAUUUAUUUAGCCUAUUAGGACUAGACAGACUUAUCUAAGAGUUUUCAUGAAAGUAUUAUCUUGAUAAUCUAUCGAAAUUAUUUAUUUAGCCUAUUAGCCUAAGUCGGGAC
rnacentral:lncRNA from 1 species